rnacentral:miRNA from 1 species
GAGUGAUGAUGAGAUUGAGAGAGGAAGAUGGGAGGGAGAGGAGUAACACAAGUGAAAACAAUUUCAAAUAGAUUUUCAGUUUUUAAUUUUUGUUUUCAUUUAUGUUACUCUUCCAUCCUCUCAUUCUCACUUCCAUUCUCCAUCUUUUUUCCUCUAU